rnacentral:rRNA from 1 species
UUGGAGGGCAAGUCUGGUGCCAGCAGCCGCGGUAAUUCCAGCUCCAAUAGCGUAUAUUAAAGUUGUUGCAGUUAAAAAGCUCGUAGUUGAAUUUCGGAAUCUGUCCGUCGGUCGGGCUUCACUGUCCGUACUGGUGUGAUGGGUUUCUACCUUCUGAAUAACCGGCAUGUCAUUAAUUUGGUGCGCCGGGGAAGCAGAACUAUUACCUUGAAAAAAUUAGAGUGCUUAAAGCAGGCUAUCGCCUGAAUAGAUUAGCAUGGAAUAAUAAAAUAGGACGGCAUGGUUCUAUUUUGUUGGUUUCUAGGAUCACCGUAAUGAUUAAUAGGGAUAGUUGGGGGCAUUAGUAUUCAAUUGUCAGAGGUGAAAUUCUUGGAUUUAUUGAAGACUAACUUCUGCGAAAGCACUUGCCAAGGAUGUUUUCAUUAAUCAAGAACGAAAGUUAGGGGAUCGAAGACGAUCAGAUACCGUCGUAGUCUUAACCAUAAACUAUGCCGACUAGGGAUCGGACGAUGUUAAUUUUUUAAUGACUCGUUCGGCGCCUUACGGGAAAC